rnacentral:lncRNA from 9 species
AGCAAUUACGAAAUGUGCAUUCUCCCUCCAGCUCCAGCUCUGCCUGCACACCUUGGGCCUUGCCUGGAACUUCUCGCCCGGCGAUGGGGCAUAUCUGGACAGCGAGAACCUGAAUCUGAACAUUGCCUGGGAAGCCCAGAAUCAAAUCCCCGGGUCAAUACUUGCUCGACACCCACUGUCCAGUUUAAGAAGAGACGGAUAUGUCAGAGCUUCGUUGUUUUUUGAAAAGUGGACCCAUGUCCCUGGAGAAAGGGCGUCCAGCACAGACACUGCCGGGCUCGGGGCUGCAUGGUGGCUUCCACGGGCCCUGGGAACUUCUGCGUUCCUGGGUCCCUUCCUUCAUUAGAAAAAAUAUUAAAAAUG